rnacentral:rRNA from 1 species
UAACCUGCUAAAUAGUUACGUCAUUUCCGAAUGACGGCGAACUUCUUAGAGGGACUAUCGGAUUUAAACCGAUGGAAGUUUGAGGCAAUAACAGGUCUGUGAUGCCCUUAGAUGUUCUGGGCCGCACGCGCGCUACACUGACGAAGUCAGCGAGUAUUUUCCUUCACCGGAAGGUGUGGGUAAUCUUGUGAAACUUCGUCGUGCUGGGGAUAGAUCAUUGCAAUUAUUGAUCUUCAACGAGGAAUUCCUAGUAAGCGCAAGUCAUCAGCUUGCGUUGAUUACGUCCCUGCCCUUUGUACACACCGCCCGUCGCU